rnacentral:rRNA from 1 species
CCUACGGGUGGCUGCAGUGGGGAAUAUUGGACAAUGGGCGAAAGCCUGAUCCAGCCAUGCCGCGUGUGUGAAGAAGGCCUUCGGGUUGUAAAGCACUUUCAGUGGGGAAGAAAGCCUUGGGGCUAAUACCCUCGAGGAAGGACAUCACCCACAGAAGAAGCACCGGCUAACUCCGUGCCAGCAGCCGCGGUAAUACGGAGGGUGCGAGCGUUAAUCGGAAUUACUGGGCGUAAAGCGCGCGUAGGCGGUCUGAUAAGCCGGUUGUGAAAGCCCCGGGCGCAACCUGGGAACGGCAUCCGGAACUGUCAGGCUGGAGUGCAGGAGGGGAAGGUAGAAUUCCCGGUGUAGCGGUGAAAUGCGUAGAGAUCGGGAGGAAUACCAGUGGCGAAGGCGGCCUUCUGGACUGACACUGACGCUGAGGUGCGAAAGCGUGGGUAGCAAACAGGAUUAGAUACCCCGGUAGUC